rnacentral:lncRNA from 1 species
GUUUUGCCAUUCUGGAUGCGUGCCUCGGAAAGAAGGGCAGGUCUAAUCUACAAAAACCACAUGUUACACGAGAGCCUAAUCCAAUCUGUCUUUACCGGUAUCAACCACAACAGGCUCGUGUUUGUCAGGUAAAACCGGAUGAGAUUAUGAACUCCUACGAGGUGUUGCGAUUUUAUGAAGGCGAGAUGGUUAAGGAUCAUACCAGGAAAUCUCAAGCUAUGGCUUAUUAGACUCUUUUUUUGGACUCUGUAUAUGUAAUAGGAUAUAAGCUCCGUUUUAAGUAUGCUCCCUUUGUAUACAAAUGCGGAGUCACUAUAUAAAUACUUGUCACACGGCUUAAGGUUGUAGACGAAAUCUAUCACACUUUCUUAUAUGAAUUAAAGUGUUAUCAGCUUUAGUAUUGAAUCAAUAUUCAUCAGCCUCCCCCACCCAACUCACAAACAUCAAACCUCUAUCAGAGCACCGUGGUAAAAUUAGUAGUUCACUGAAGAACAAAAUUUUUUAGCUCCGUCAAUCCCCUUAAUUAAAAAGUAGUUUACUGAAGAACAAAAUUUUCUACAGAAUUUAAUCGUGUUCCAAUAGGAAUUUGGCAUAUAGAAGGGUAAAAUUAAAUCAUGAAGUCUCACAAUGAAGUGGCU